AUGCACAAUGCAUUGUCCUGCUCUGUCCUUAUGCGAGCUGUGAUAUUUCUGUUGUGCCAGAAAAACUGGAGGUAAAUUAGCAGAGUGGCUACUUUGUGUCACCUCUGCCAGUCCCCUUCACACACAU
ensembl:snoRNA small nucleolar RNA SNORA19